ensembl:lncRNA
AUGAACACAGAACAAAAUAAAAUAUUUAAAAAAGAAAAUAUGACGAUAAACAAUGGCUAUGAAAAAAAUAAUAACAAUAAAUACGAAGCUAAAAAUGACAAACAAUUAGACACAAUCAAUUCCAAUGAUAACAAAAUAAACGAAAAGAAUUAUUUUAAUGCUUUAAGUAAAAAUAAUGACGUACAAAAUUUUAAUUAUAUAAACAGAUAUUGCUUUCCAUAUGUACCUAAGUUCAAUAAUAACAUAAAUAAAAACUAUGACAAUAUAAAUAUUAGUCAUAACUACAAUACUAGACAUGAUGACAGUACUAUCCAUGGUGAAAUAUACAGUAACUAUAACAACAAUACUUAUAAUACAACAGACUCUAACUUCAAGUAUGGUUUUAAGUACAAUAAAAAACAUGACAUAAUUAACAAAAAUAAUAAAAAUAAUUUCAGUUAUUAUAACGAAAAUAAACUACCUUUUAAUUAUAAAUAUAGUUAUACAAAUAAUUACAAAAUAAAUGGUAUAAAUGAACAUAACAAUCUUAACAAUAUAAAUAAACAAUUUAAUACUAAUUACAAUCAUAAUUUUAUUAACACAAAUUAUUUUAACCCAAUGGAUUAUAGUACAAGUAGUAGUAUGGGGAAUAAUUACAUACAUACAAACAAUAUUGGUUAUAAUAAUAAUAUAUACUAUAAUAAUAUCGGUAGUUAUAACAAAAACAUAAGUAAUAUGGUUAACAACGUAACUGUAAACAUGAACAACAAUUCAUCAAACUAUCUUUCGAAAGAUGUUUAUGCUAUUAACAAUCAAAAUAAUAACAAUCAAAAUAAUAACAAUCAAAAUAAUAACAAUCAAAAUAGUAACUAUGAUAAAAUUCAUAUAAGUAACAAUGUUAUUGGUGCUGCUAAUCUUACCAAUACUAAUCGGCAUAAUAGUACAUACUUUAAUAAUCGAACACUUAUGCCCAAUCCUACAAUGUACCCAAUAAACAUAUAUACUAACAAGUCAUAUAAUGUGAAUAAAAAAAAAAUGCAUUACAUUCAUAACAAUAAUAACGAUCAUAUAAAUGGACCACCAACAUGUGAUAACAGUAGCACAACAAUAUAUAAUAAGAGUAAC